rnacentral:rRNA from 1 species
UACGAAGGGGGCUAGCGUUGCUCGGAAUCACUGGGCGUAAAGCGCACGUAGGCGGCUUCUUAAGUCAGGGGUGAAAUCCUGGAGCUCAACUCCAGAACUGCCCUUGAUACUGAGGAGCUUGAGUCCGGGAGAGGUGAGUGGAACUGCGAGUGUAGAGGUGAAAUUCGUAGAUAUUCGCAAGAACACCAGUGGCGAAGGCGGCUCACUGGCCCGGUACUGACGCUGAGGUGCGAAAGCGUGGGGAGCAAACAGG